CUCGUAUCUUGCAGAGUAAACCUCCAACAUACCCACAAGAGCUCACAGCCAGUACCGCGCUAAAAGGCAAAACUGUGACCCCAACAAGCAGGUCAGCUACAGCGAGAGAGAGGAUGAGGUAGUUUGUAGGAGUGUGGAGCUGUUUGAAGUAAAUGAUGGAGGUUAUUAAAAGAAGGUUUCCACACAUUAUAAGAACUGAUAAAGAGCCAAUAAAAAUACAUAACAAAUACGUGCUGGUGGUGAG